rnacentral:lncRNA from 1 species
ACUACUCUAUCUUACCUAAUAUAGAAACUAUAUGACUUCCUAAAACCAUUCCCACUGUGUAUACUGCAUGAUCUUGGUGACUAAGAUAAGAUCAGUCUUCCACUUUUUCCAGAAAAUUUUGUGCUCUGAAGAAUUCAUAGAUCCAAGAAUACGGUUGAUGUAAUCAACUGUUGCACGAAAGCCGCUCUCUGCCUUCGCUCUUCUUUAUCCUUUUCACAGCCUUCAUCUGGUGAAGAGGACUUAGCACUGCAAAAACAAAAUGUAUCAGCAACAGGGCAUCAACAGGCCUAUUCUCAUAAAGCAUGUAUUUUUUGCAUAACCCUCACCAAGAUAUAUUAUUUGACAUAUCACAUAUCUAAAGACCAGUCACUGCCAACAAAGCAAAAAUGGAGGGCAAUGCAAGAGUAAUAAAGGGAAUGAAUAACACAUAGAUGGUUCAUUCACAUUCCUGGUUUACCCGAUGGAGCACCAAUAACAAGUAACUUGACCCACUCAAUGGCAAACAUGGAGGUAAAACUAAGUGAAAAACUCUGAAGCUUAAAUGAAACAAUCUAGUACUCCAUCUUGUUGAAACAGGUGGGCGGUUCGAUCUAUUGGAUAACAACACUGAUUUUGCACGUCAUAUCAGUGAAAAGAUAAAACUAUGCAGAUAUUGGCAGGGUUUCCUGUUUCCUAUUUAUCUUCAUCUAUCCCGCUGAAAACUGCUUAACUGGCGUGAUGGCAAUUAAUUGUCCUUAACUUGUAGGGAAAAAGGAAGUUGGUUGGAAAAGAAGAUAGCAUCACAUUUCCAAAGCACAAAGUACAGAGCCCAGAUGACAUAAAAAGCAUUAUCCCAUAAUUCUCAGAUGAUUAGGCAACUUUUCAAAUAUAUGCAGUUAAGGCAUCAACCAAACACCUAGAAUGAUAACAAACUCACAAGUAAAAGUUCCAAUACGAACAAACAAAGCGAAGCUAUAUAGUAUUCAUUGGUUUUAGAAUCAGUGAAAGCAAAAGAUUAUAUAAGUGGUUACGACACAAACACAGACAACAAGAGAAAAGAUGAUGCAACUAUCAUUUGGAUAACUUAGGCCUAAAGAAAUAAAUAGUUCAAGGGAUUCCCAAAAUCAAGAUAUCUUCAAGAAUUUGAAACUUUCAAUGAAGAGCAGAUUUAGAUGCAAUGUAAGGCUUGCUUAAAUACCAAACAUCGUAGGGUUAGGAAAAAAAAAAUUUGUUUCUUUGGUAAGCAUAUGAACAACAAAUCUUUCAACAAUUAUUUUCUGCCUUAUAAAAUCAUGAAAUUCCUGGGUUUUCGCAAGACCCAUUUGCAUUUACAUCUCUGGUCCAUAAUACAUUGAUGCAUGUUAAACUAAGAUCUCUUAAGUUUACAAUCCCUGUCUUUAUCUCCCACUCACGAGUCACGACCACUAAUAUCUUAAAGUUGUACUUUCAUAAAAGAACAAGAGUAUACCUUUUCAAGCUGGAAGUGAUAGGGGCAUUGAUAUUGGAACAAAUAUCUUCCGGAAUACCAAUAGGGUCUGAAAAAGAUAUAUUGCAGAUAAAUGGUGAGAGGAGAGGAUCAGGUGCAGAUUCAUGUGCAGAUGCCCUUCCGUUCUUCAGCAGUGCCUUUCCAAGCAUUGCUGAACUACCAGUCCACAAACCCGCUUUUUGAGAUUUUCUCCUGUGCUGAAAAGCAUAGAUGACUCCUUUAAGGUUCCAACAUGAUCAACAAACUUUUCGACCAAAUUAACUAUAUUGUAAAUCUAUGAUCCCAUAUAGGCAAUAAUACCUUGAACGAGCUUGCAUGGUGCACCAUAAAAUGUCCAACUACAUCUUUCCCUAGAUUCGCUGCACACAUAGGACAAACCUGGAAUAACGGGAUUAGAGCAGCCAUCAGGUUCAAAUUCUAACUGAAACAUCAUAAACUGGUGGCAAUAAUUUAUAUUUUCCAAUUGCAUCUUCCCUUAUUUAUAAUAUUAUAAAUUUUGGAAGGCCUUCCCAUUUACCAUACCCUAAAUGAUUCAAUGCACUUUACUAAGUAAAUCUAUCAAUUUCAAGCAGCAUCCUUUUUGUAAUCAAAAUGGGAACCAUCUUGAUUGGAUGGUUCAUUAUUGACUCAAGAAUAUGAUAUUGAUAAUGCUAAUCUCAUUUAAAUCGCACACAACAAAAUAUCUGGUAAAGAAAAGCACGCACUGCAUUUUUAAAGUCAAAGCAGUGUUCUUCCUCCAAGUGGUUGCAGAGCAUUGGGACUUCAAUAUCCACAUAACAGAAAGGGCAUGGAAAACAAGAUUUUGCAUCGUCAUCUCCUUCAGAAUCUUCCGAAGCCAUAUGAUUAUCUGUUUUAACAUAUAUAGAAAAUAAAAGAUCAAUACAUAGAUAUAUGACAUGGAUGGACAUAUAUGUACACGCAUUCAUAGAGACAUGUCGAUUAAUAUAUCCAAAUCACAGGAUCAAACAAUGCAAAUAUGGGCGCAUGCACACACACAGAGACACGUAAAUAUAUAUAUCAGAGUGAGCCACCCCAGGCUAUCUCCAACACGCAGAUCUUACUCUGGCUACAAGAAACUACUAAAAUGAACUCUUUGCAGUGUUUAGUGACUAAAUAUGGACCAACACCACUUGACUUUUGCCCAAGAAGACAAUAGGCAGAGCCUAAACAAAUAUACAUUCAUCUUCUUAUCUAUGAACUGCAUAAGCUGCAAAGGAAUUAACCAGGCUCAGCAACCAUCUGAAGAUGGAUUUGUAAUUUUUCUCCAUAUGUUUUUCUAUCAAACCUUAAUUUUCUCACCUUCAUUCCAACUAAUUCUGUAAGCUGGUUCCUCCUCGUCAUCAUCAUCAUCUUCACCUUCAUGAAUGACAACACUAGAAGCAUCACGCUCCCACUUACUCUCAAGCGUGAAGGAAUCAGUACCUAAUGACUCAGAUAAAAUGCCUUCUGUUUCCUUCAAUAUCUGCUCUCUCAGGUUCUCCAGAUAAUCCAGAUAAUCCUCAUAUUCUGAAAUUUUUACAUUUAAACUACUGAGCUGAUCCGACUCUUGAUCCACCAACUCUUCAUAAUUUUCAUCCUCUGUAUCUUCUUCAUCUUCAGUAUAAUUUGUCAUGCGGAUAGAUUCUCUUAAUCUCUUUUUUGGGCGUUGAUUAGCCUCAAAUAUAAUUAUAACUUACCCACCUUAUUAAUCAAAGGAGUUUCUUCUUUCUAUGGUCUCCUGGCAACCCUAAUUCUAAGAAAAUUAGGGCCCGAAUUAUCACUAGAAUCUUCCUCCAUGGCCCUGCUUCUUAUAGGAAAUCUUUACUGUAAUAUUACACGCAUGGAAGGCUUUUAUAAACGUAUCUAGCAACUUUCUAAAAUUACCUAAUCUAGCAUGAAGGAUAUGAUGAAAUCCCAAAAUUUUCGGACUUUUAUUUAUUAAUUAAAAGAUGAUAUUUUCCGAUAAUGCCCACAACAAAGUUACCCAUAAAUUUCAAGGAGAACGCUCCCCAUUUGAAAAUUCAAGCAAAGUCGUACUCUUCACAAUGUGCGUGUUGCUUUGACAAGAAACUAAAAGAAAACUAAAGAAUCGAAAGCCAAUUUCUUUCUUAAAUCCAACCAAGUUUUCAGCUUUAAGCCCAACCCAGUUCUUGAUAACUCUCACUCACAAAAGCCAUUGCUUUACUUAAACAUCAACGAAACGAAACUGAAAUCAGCUAGUAAAAUACCCUUACUUCAAUUCCCAAAACUCUACCCAGACAAUGAGAGAAUUUGACAAACUAAAAAAGGAAACAAUUUUUUUUAAAAUAGAAAUGUUGAAGCACACAUGAGAGGUAAAAAUUAAAAAAUAAAGAAAAUCUAAGUACCAUAGUGAAGCCGAGCAGCAUGGGCAGCAGAGAGGCUCUUGGCUGCUUGAACCCUGGAAGCCCACGAGUCAACGUCCAUGGAAUCAACUCUCCGGCGACCCAAGUCAGCUUUUUCCGGCGAGAAGUGUUAGAAACCGUCCGUACGGGAAAUAGGUUUGGAUCAAAGGCUUAAAGUUUCUACCUUUCAGAUUGAGGAGGGGUGUGGUGAUGUUUUGCUUACUCACUCAUAUAUUGCUCUGAUACUGAAAGCUUUCCUGACACACAAAAGAUGUUUGAUGCAUAGCUGACACGUGGAAUUUUUCCAUUUAAUUACAUCAUUGCUUCUUUUCUUUUCUUUUUUUCAAUUAAAUAAUUGUACAUGUUAAUUUCAGAACUACUUGUCAAUUGUCAUCUUUUGCCAAAGUACAGAGAACACAUGAUUUUAUUCUAUUUUCAGUGUUAUUUAUAUAAAAUUGUAUAUUUGUUUUCCAUGGAGCAUUGACAUGUAUUUGCAGCAUGAAUAUAAAUAAUUAAUGACAUUUUUUAAUGACCACAAAAGAAAAGAGAAGAGAAAAGGAAUAAAAAAGAACUUGGUUUAUAUGACUCGUGUGAAAUACCUUUCUUCACAUCACAUGGAAGCUUUUGGCUGUCUUGAAAGAAGCUAAAGAUGUUGAUGUCAAACUUCUUUGGCUACUUUAUCUGACUGUGAAUGACGUGCGGAAAUUUGGUCAGAUUUGAGUUUUGAUUUGUUUUUUAAAGGAAGAAAAGAUUAAAGAAGGAAAGAAACAAAUAUGUUGACUGUUAGCAAAUCCAAUGUAAGAUAUUAGCUUCAAAUGUGCCUCUUAUUUUAGACACUAAUUAUGCCACCUGUAAUUUAGAAAUGUUCAUAAAAAGAACUUUCAUUAAAAUAACAACUUUACUUUGUUUGUAAGCAUUUCGCUUUUACAUUGGGAGCCUUUUAAUCACGCUUCUCACUCAAAUUACAAACACGUGUUGUUCUUGAAAAUAACACUUCGCACUAUUUUUUACUAUACUCAAAUUUGUUGGGGGUUUUCAAACUCGUGGGCUGACUAGAAAUAGAAACUAAUGACAUGAUUAAAUUUAAUGACAAAGAUUUAGGCAAAAGCUAGGAAAACAAAAUGGAGUGACAAGAAAGAAUCAGUUUCCAGAGCAGACAACCUAUCCAGGAAGGAGAUAGGCAGGGCAUGCGAUAACAAGUUGGACAAAAAGUUGCUUUAGUGUGGGAGGAUGGUGGAGUGGUGCAUGGACUUGGACCAGGACGGUGCAUUACACCUAAAAAAAGGGCCAAACAACAAAGCUGAAAAGAUUGUGGUGGGGCAUUUUCUUAUAAAGACAGCUCAAUAUCAUAUAUAUAUUUUUACUUGUUCCCUAAGUUCUAAAAGAUUGAAACCCAUCAAAGGGGUUUUUUUGUUUUUUAAAAUAAUUAUUAUUAUUAAAGACUAGUGUCUACUUAGUUUAGUGAUAAAUAGGGGGCUGUUUUGCUUGCUUUGCAGCAAAGGAACUUCCCAAAAGCCAAAAAGAGAGGAGAGAAGGAACUAAUGGCAUCAGAAUAUGAGUGGAGAUCCCAUUUGGGUUUUCUGGGUUAUUUGGGAUGAGCCCUUACCUUUACAACAAGUCCAAGAGAAUAUUUGGGUUUGGGCUGAAACACUGGGAAAUUAUGAAGAGGUCUAAUCUUAGACUGGGCUACAGGUAUUCAUGGUAUGGGCUAUCAGUAGCUUGACAGAAAAAGAAACUAAAGGAAAUCUUUCGAGUCAAAAUCAAUGGAGAUCUAUGAGUAAAAACUUUGGACAGUUUUUGGCAGAUACUAUUGUUUUAAGAUGGAAUUCAGGGACAACUGGACAAUCAUGAGGAAGAAGUCAUAGCCUUUUGGCAAUUGUGUCUGUUAAUUUGUUAACACUAAGCUUUCAUAAAGAGAUUUUGUUUUGUUUUUUACACUGUCACCAAUAAAGAUAUUAUGUUAAUUUUCCUUUGCUCUGCCUCCAUGUUCAUACUUUAACACAGAGAGAGAGAGAGAGAGAGAGAGAGAGAGAGAGAGAGAGAGAGAGUGUGUGUGUGUGUGUGGGGCUGAGAAGGCUAAGCUAAAGUCAUUAUAACUAUUUAACUUUUAUGAGUUUAGAGCCCCAUAUGGUACUUGGUAUCCAGGUAAGGCUUGAAACUAAGGGUGCAGCCAAAGUGAAAGUUUGCCCCAUAUUUAACAUUGGUGGGGAAAUAGGAAGGCCACACAUUUCAUGAUAUCAUUUACCAUCAUUCUGUUGAUUUUUUUUAUUAAAACAAAAAAACAAAAAAACAAAAAAGUUGAGAAAGAUGAAUGAUUAUGGUACUCAAGAAAGCUUUAUCAUGUUUUUAACAGAUGAGAUCUCAUAGCUGGAAAUUAUAUCUGCCCAGGGACCAGUAACAUAAAACAAACUCAUAGUCAACCUAUGCUUUUCAUGAUUAUUUAAGAAUUUGAAAGAAAAUAAAAAUGUACUCAUUAUUGGGAUAUGCCAGCCACUGCUGCUAAACAGUCUUUGAGUUGUGCUCAAUUUGUGUGUUGGGUGUAAAAGGAAAAAGAUUUAACAGUUGGUCAAAUUUUCAUAGAAAAAAGAGAGAGCCAGCAGCACCAACCAUUGUGGUAAAUCAGCACAUAUAUGCUGCAUAACAGCAGACAAAUUGCCCCAAAUUGGAUGAAAAAAAUUCAAGAUGGCAAAGCUUACAUAUGCAUCUACAGUGUCACCCAAAUUAGAGUAGCAGUGACAAAAAUGACAAAACCACAGCUCAGUUGCCCUUUCCUUUAAGCAGGCUUUGUAAUAAUUUGAAUGAUAUCUCCUGAACCACUAGCUCAACAGAAUGAUGAUAAAACCAUUAAGAAGAACAAGAAGGAGAACUAUAAGGCAUGUUUAUUUGUCUAACAAAAAAAAAAUCCAACUUGUUGAUUUUAAAGUCUAUCUAAUUAAUAAGUCAGAAUUGCAGAAUGCAUAAGCCCAUUCAGAACCUGACAGUUUCAUACUCAAUGGCUUCUGGACUUCAGGGACUUUGUAUUUUUACCAAGAAUUAUGAACAUCAGAAGUAAAUAAUAAUAACAACAAAUCCAAAUCCGAUCUGCAUACUACGAAAACAUAUAUAUAUUGGAUGUUUUAGUACACAUAUUACAAUAUCACCCAUCUCAAUAGGAAAGGUCUUCAAAAAAAAAAAAAAAAGUCUUACAAGGAACAAGGUAAUAUGAGAACAUGCAGGACAGCAACAUGGUAUUUGCUGCACAUACUCAAAAACCAAAAAGAUAUAUAAGAAGAACUAAAACUGAAAGGAACCCAGAAAAAAGAAGGUGAUCGGACCAGGAGAGCUUCAUUCCCCCGUGAAUAUGGAUCGAUGCUAUCGACACCUACAUCACUAUGCUUGGCCUUGGAGGAGGAGGAGGAGGAGGAGGAGGAGAGACCUCAAACUUCUUUAAAUGGCAGCUCCAAGAACAAACACUCAUCUCUUGAAGUUGAGAGAGAAGCUUAAAUUGCUUCCAAUAUUGAACUUCCAAAACCAAAACGUUCAUGCUUAAUGUGACAAAUUCAAAAGCAGCCACCAUGGUUAUCAUGGGAGGGAGAAGGAAAGAGCCAGAGAAGUAGCUAGCUAGGGCAUGUUAUGAGGAACUCACAGAACAUAUAAACAUGGACAUAUAUAUAUAUAUAGAUAGAUAGAUAUAGAAGUGGCUAGGAAAUUGGCUUUAUUUGCAGAGACAGACAGGUGAAAUAUUGUGAUGCACGCAUACUGUGGAGACCUAAUCUUAUAUUCCCGCAUGCACGUUUUUUCUCUUUAAUGAACAGUCUCAGGGCACGUUUCCACAGGAAAAGGAAAGCCAAGAAACAAAAGAUAUAGGACAGUGGAGGAGUUUUUUGUUUUGGAGGUGGGAUUCAUUUGAAGGGUAACAAAUUUUUCAAGGCAAAGCAAACUAGCAAAGCAUACAUGGUGCCCCAAAGGUGGGGCUAGCCUAGCUCCUUGUAAAGCCAACCCCUUCAUCACAAAGGAUCUUUAUCUAUGUUGGUCUUUGAAUUUUUUGCUCUUCUCUCUUCUCUUUUGGUCAGUUCAUGUCAAAAAAGGAUUAUAAUUUUCUUUUUGUGUUGCUUUUGAUGUGUUCGGUGGUUUGAUUUGGGGUCACUCUGUUAUUUUCAGAAUCUUAUGAGAUCAAAUUAUAAUCUUCAGACAUGUGUUUUAGCUGGGUCAAGACUCAAAAUUGUACUUAUGUCUUGUGGUUGACCAUCUAAAUUUCAUUAUGACACAGUUAGACCAUGAUUUGCUUUAGGAAAGAUAAAAAUAUGUAUCAUAAUUUAUUCCUACCUAAGCUCAUGCUCAUGAUAUGCCAAAAUAUGUACUAGUCUAUGAAUUAGUUUGUCCGCUAAUACUACUAUGUAUCUAAGUCAUUCAGAUUUUACGUCAUUCGUCUUUAUUGAAUUUUUAACUUUGAUUCGUUUAGCGUAUGUUAUAACCAUAAUACUUUUUGAAAAUACAAUAUUUUCCUUGUUAACUUAUUGUAUUUAGUGGGGGUUUCCAUUUGUCUUGACAACUGAUUGACACUCUCCACCUAAAGGGCUCAAGAUAAGAUUGCAACGAAUGUCUCUAUCAAAUGGCUAAUGUCUUUCAAUCUCGCAACGGCCAUUUUUCUGUAAGCUUCCCGAUUGAAAAAGGAAUAAAGGACCACCGUUGUUAUGUUGCGUAAGGUCUUUACCCAAACCUUUCCACAGCCCACAGCACACCUGGCCCCACCUGCCUCCUCUCCCAUAACCAACUGCCACGUGUAUUUAGACUUGCAGGGAGCCUCGCACGCCCGUUGAGAGAAAAAAAAGGGCGGGUUCCGGGUUUCACUUUAAUAACCGAACCCAACUUCGCGUGAAAGAUACUAAAGGUGGGUGGGGCCGAUAAGAAACCUCCCUACAGCAGUGGUGGGCCCCUCCUUGUGAAAGUCUUACAAACACAUGGGCCCCCAUUUGGUUUCGACAAGCCCAUGGGCUCCAAUUUGGACGCAACUCAAUUCGGGUUGACCCGAAAAGGCUUAAACCCUGGAAAUCCCCUAAUUGAUAUCAUUGGCUUCUUCUGUGGUGUAGUCUCAGUGAAAAAGUAUAGCAGCCAUGAAUCGAGCAAAGGCAGCGUUGCUCAAAACCCUUGGCUUCGCCAACGCGCUCGUGUUGACCAGGUCCUACGUCACAACUCGGCCGAUUUGUUCUCAGGUGACUCAAUUCCCUCACCUCUCUCACUUUCAUUCUGAUCAAUCAUGCGGUUUUCAUUUCCUCAAUACCCAUCAAAGCCUGUUCUUUUCCUCGGCCCCCAACUCGGUUUUGCAACUGGUUUUGGCCAACCAGUGGUCCGCUGAGUUGGAGAACGAGUUAUCUGAGUCCUACCCAUCACUGACCCACGAUGCAGUUAUCUAUGUUUUGAAGAAACUGGAUAAAGACCCAAAAAAGGCUUGGGAUUUUUUCAACUGGGUCUGUGAGAAAAAUGGUUUUAAGCCAAGCUCUUUGGUGUUUAACUUGAUGCUUGGGGUUUUAGGGCACAAGGAUUCAAUGAAACAGUUUUGGAUCACUCUGAGGCAAAUGAAAGAGCAAGGCUUUUACAUUGAAGUGCAAACGUAUUCGGCAAUCGCUGAACGGCUUAAAAAGGGGAAGAUGGAUAAUGAUGUUGUGGCUUUCAAGCAUUUUUUUGAAAGGAUGAUGAAAGAUAAUGCGACGGAUGAGGUUGCGAAGAAGGUGGCCGAUGUUGUUUCAGGGUCAGAGUGGAGUGCUGGGAUUGAGAAAGAGUUGGGGGAGCUUAAAAUUACGUUAUCUGAUAAUUUUGUCGUAAGGGUAUUGAAGGAACUUAGAAUUUGCCCAUCGAAAGCUUUGAGCUUUUUCCAUUGGGUCGGUCAAAGUUCCGGUUAUGAACACAAUACUAUCACAUAUAAUGCAGUUGCAAGGAUUCUUGCACAGGCUGACUCAAUUGGGGAGUUUUGGAGUGUGAUUGAGGAAAUGAAGGGUGCAGGUCAUGAACUAGAUUUGGACACUUAUAUAAAGAUUACGAGGCAGUUUCAGAAGAGCAAGAUGAUGGAGGAUGCGGUGAAGCUAUAUGAGCUCAUGAUGGAUGGCCCGUAUAAGCCUUCUGCUCAGGAUUGCAGCAUGCUUUUACGGAGCAUCUCAGCAAAUGAUAAACCAGAUUUGGAUAUGGUGUUUAGAGUUGCAAAGAAAUUCGAGUCUGCAGGGAAUACACUCUCUAAGGCUGUUUAUGAUGGAAUUCAUAGGUCUUUGACAAGUGCGGGCAGUUUUGAUGAAGCAGAGAAAAUUACGAAGGUUAUGAGAAAUGCAGGGUAUGAGCCAGACAACAUUACAUACAGUCAGUUGGUCUUUGGACUUUGUAAGGCCAAGAGACUUGAAGAAGCCUGCAAAGUGCUGGAUGAGAUGGAAGCAAAUGGGUGUGUUCCUGAUAUCAUGACUUGGACCAUUUUGAUUCAAGGACACUGUGCUGCUAAUGAAGUUGACACGGCGCUGGUUUGUUUUGCAAAGAUGAUCGAAAAAGGCUGUGAUGCUGAUGCUGAUCUACUGGAUGUCUUGAUAAACGGAUUCCUUAAGCAGAGGAAGAUAGAGGGUGCAUACAAAUUGCUUAUUGAAAUGGUGAAUAUGACUCGUUUAAGACCUUGGCAAGCCACAUACAAAAAUCUUAUCGAAAACCUGUUAGGAGUUAGAAAACUCGACGAAGCAUUCGCACUUCUUCAUUUAAUGAAGAAACAGAGCUACCCACCUUAUCCAGAUCCUUUUGUCCAAUAUUUAUCAAAAUUUGGUUCAGUGGAGGAUGCUGCAGAAUUUUUCAAGGCAUUGUCUGUGAAGGAAUAUCCCUCGUCUGCCGCUUAUGUCCAUGUUUUCAAAUCAUUCUUUAAAGAAGGUAGAGACUCUGAGGCCAAAGAACUGCUUUAUAAAUGCCCUUAUCAUAUUCGAAAACUUGGUGAAAUUUCCAAACUUUUUGGUUCUACAGAAGGCAAGCAGACUGCUGCUUGACAUGUAUUUGUUGUAGUAAAGUUCAUGGUCAACUACAUGAACUGUAACGUCUGCACAUUUUUCAACACAAUAGGAAAUUAGCCUCUCUUUCUUAUUUUCUUCAAUGUUAGUCCAUUUUAAAGUUAUUCCUGUCAAUUGAUGCAUACAGCCUACCAUUUAUGAGAUCUCAGGAAGGGCGUGAUGCUUCAAAAGAAUAUAGCCAGUUUGAUGUUUUUGUAUAGCUUUCUUUUUUCAUUUUUCUUUUUUCCUUUUUCGGGUACAGAUUAUAUGAUAAUUUUAACGAUAAUCUUCAUCACAAAGGAAAGGAAGCUGCUAAUGCUUGAAAAUGAAUUAGAUUAUAAGUCACAGUUUGCAGUAGGCAUAAAAAUACAUUGUUCACAAGAUGUGAAAAUUAGUCGAUUCAGUCAGGUAGCUCAGAACGCUCCCUCCUAGCUGUAUCUAUCAUUGUACUCAAGAAUUUGCUUGGGUCGCAACCAUAAGGACUUGCAAGAGCCGCAUGCCCUAGGAAUGGAAGCUUUCUUAAAGAUCGUCCACUCAAUCCCUAACCAAAGUAAAGAAGCAAAAUCAACAAUCAAAUAGCUUUAUAAAAUAGAAAAAAAAAGGGACUAAUUUAGAAGGCAUUGAAGAAUCAGUUCCUCACCUCACAUGCUUCUGCUGUUUCAAGCAAUUGUUUACACAUGUGUAGUGUUCGGGCAUCUUGAACCUCAGGCAUAUUCAAUUUCUCUUUCAAGCUACCGUAGUUAGGAAGCAUGAGGCUUUCACAAUCCUAAAAUUCACAAUGUUCAUUAGACAUGGCUUCAAUUUGAAACUUCCCCACAUUAGCACUUAAUGGAGAAGGUAAUAUAUUAAAGCUUUAACAAAUAUGGUAUCUGAAGAAGGUAAGACAUGGACCUCAAAAUUUGAUAAAAUUCCUGUUCGUAUAAGUUCCUGCAAGCAGGACCUUAGAAUUUCAUAACGCGCUUGCAGAGUUGGGGGGCCGACAUAUGCUUUUAUAUCAGCUCGAUCAACAAACGCAAUAUCUGCAACCCAAUAAAUGGUAAAUACAUAAAUACUCAGAUUCUUAGAGUUUUUCCGCCUUCGACACAGAAAAUAAAAUAUAUCAUUGGGGAAAGAGCGAGGAGGAUAAAAAAUGCUCCCAGCAAACAAAAGAAAGAACACCAACAAUAAGAAAAAAUGAGAAUAUCAUUCAGCUAAAAACUUUGAUCCCAGCAAAUAGGUUGGAAAUUAGGGAAUGCGGGAAUCUGCUUCUGUAGCAUAUUAAUAUACAGCAAUGCCUAUCUAUUUUUAUAGCUCCUCAGAACCACAGUGGAUUGGAGGCUGAUGAGAAUACUAUCAUAGGCAAACCACAAAUAGGCUAAACCGUUUUAUACAGUGAGAAACGUACAUAAACUAUUUCCGAGCUACAACUUUCCACUCCAAGUUAAAGAUGAAAAAUAGCAAGCAAACCCAGGGAAGUUCAUUUACCAUGUUAGGAAAUUGAUUACAGGCUUACCAAUAGCAGCCGUUAUGUUGGAUGUUGUCAGAAUUAUCACAUUCGGUGCUGAUUUCAACUUGUCCAGCUGAGUUAGCAGCGCAUUCACUACCUGGCAUGUCAUUUUUUAGGUGCUAUUUGGACGGAAAAUGAGCUAGUGUGAACCAUAUCCAAAAAAUUUCUCUAUGUUCACAAUAUGUUCAAUCAAAAAGCUUAGAAAGUAUUCUAGAAUAGGAGAAAUGUGAGAGCAUGGUACCCGAAUAGAAUCUGAAGGUUCAGAACCAGAUAGAGCAGCUUUUCUAGCAGCAGCGAGGCUUUCAACUUCAUCUGCAGCAUCACCGCAUAUAUAUAAUCACAACCCAGAUGGAAGAAAGAUGACCAUGAAAUCAGAAAUCACAGUAAAAUUAAAUCUCACCAAUCAAAACAAAUACCAGAUUGUUUUCCUCUUCUACCAUCUCUUGAAUUUUUUGGAAAAGCUUUGCAACCUAAGAUUGAAAAAUAUUUUAUACAAACUGCAUAUACGAAAUCCCAACUCUUGUUUACAAAGAGCAGAAGCAUCUUUUGAGAAUUAUAAUAUCAACUACGUACCAAUUUGCCACUCUCGGAGAACCAUUUACUGAAUAAAGAAUGUGCAUUAACUUCAAUCAAUUGGCACUGUGGAUAUCUGCAAUGCAUAAAGUAAUGAGUCUGGAAAUUUACGCACACAGGCUUCCAUUUUAGUAAUAUAUAAUCGUCUGAACAAAACAAUACAUAAACAAACCUGGAGUUAAAUCGAAUAGAUAGUUUUUGAGCCAGUGCUUUACAUAAAGAGGUUUUUCCAGUGCCUGGAGGUCCAUGUAAAAGAACAAUGCUGCAAAGGGAUAGAAACAAUCAUAUUGGUGCUAAAGAGCAAUUCCCCAAUAAUCAUAAAAUACAGGCAUAUGUGUACACAGAUGAAAUCAACAAACAAGUCCUUACCGAUUCCAUGACACAAGGAAAGGAUUGACACCCUUCUCAGUAAAAAGCAACGCACUAGCUGCAUACCGCAGUAACCUUUGCUUGAGACCAGAUUCAUAAAUUAAGCUGGAAAGGUAAAAGACCAUGUCACAACAUCAGUUGAUCUCAACCUACUAAUGGGGGAAAAAGUAAAUAGGUAGCAAAUUAACCUUUCCCACAUCCCAUCAAAUUCCUUCGCAGGAAGAAUCCAUUCAUUAAAGGUAGAAGGUUGUCCAUCGCCACUUACGUCCUCACAUGCUCCCUCUUCGCUAAGCUGACAAAGCAAAUAUGAGAAAAAGAUCAAUACUCGAAACAGAUAUUGAGUCGCAAAGCAGUUCAGAUGUCACGGGCAGUACCAACUCAGACAACCCUUACCACCAGGCACCAAAUAAAGCAGAAUUCUAAAAGACGAUAGUAACAGACUGUUGCUAGUUAAAGAUAAAUAAACAAAAGCAAACUGAUACACCUACUGCCUAUGCUAUUCAUGAGCACUGCAAUUCACCUGAAAAACAUGCACAACAGGCUUCACUUGCCAGAACAAAAGGAUCUCAUGGUUCUGCACCCACUCAUCUACAAAAAUAAACAGUUCAGUAAUCAGAAAUGGUGAAUAUCUGAAAACUGCAUCAUCCUCCUCCUCCUUUAUAUGGUUAGAAAAGAAAUAAAAAUAGUGCUGCAGUCAACUUUCCAUUUUAUCAGAUGAAAAAGUUCAGCUGAUAAAAAGUUGCAAUAUUGAGCACAGCUGAUCAUCAAGUUUACAAAAUUUCUUCUCUUUUCCUUCAAUAUUUUAUUAACCUCAGUGAUCAAAUUCAUAGAUAAAGAAAAAUAAAUAAAAAAUACCCGUGUCACAAAUACAGAUUCUUUGCACAUUUUCCGUCAGGAACUGAUCGUCGGGCGGCACGGGCACAGGUCCAUCAGUAUAGCUUAAACUCCUCUUUUCAAGCAUUCUAAGCAUUUAACAAAAAGGAAACCAAAAGAGACGUUAAAACGAACAUAUAAAACCCAAUUAAGAUACAACUGAGAAUCAUUGCUCGAAAGUCAAGAUUAAUGGAGUUUAGUAGCACACCUCUCAACGGCUGACCGUACAUCGUCAAUCCGAGCUGUGCUUGAGGGCUUGAGGGAGACUUCAACUGAAACCCACAAUCAAUUUUCUUUAAAGAAAGUAAAUUUACAACUAAAUCAUCAACACAACCUCAAAUUGGAACAAUUUGAAACUCAAAAUGAUGAAGAUGAAGUCGAACCGACCUGAAACAAGUACUUUGUCUUGGGGAAGACUAGGAGAAGGAGCUGAGUCUACAGCGAUGAAGCCGUUUUGGUCCGGAAUCACGGUGUCCUGAGGGUUUUGCAGAGAGAUCUCCAUGGGACUGGGAGUACUCAUUUCGGGUUUCGGGUUUGAGAGACUAUGAAGCGGAAAGCAUCACACAGAGAAUCGAGACCAGCUUGGAGGGGAUGAGCCAAACCCUAGAGCCCAAAGAGAAAUCCGGUAAAUUGUUCUUCAAAAUGGGCGGGAAUAUUUUGAAACUUCGUGUCCAGCAAUUUAUAAUAUACAUUUUCUUUUUCAAAUAAAUUAUAUCUUUUUUUAUUAGUUUUAUAAGAUUUGAUUUUUUAUUAUCUAUACUAGCCCUUGACACAUGCUCACGCAUGUGCCAAUUGGUUUUCUUUUUCUUUUUUAUUUUAUUUUUAGAAUUAAUAAAAGAUAACAGGGUAGUUAUGUUCCAUAAAGGUAGGACUUAUUAUCUUAUUUUGUUUUUAAUUUUAAUUUUUUUAAUAUUAAAAAAUGUGAAUUUACCAUAUUAUCGUCAUUUAAUUAAUAAUUUCAAUUCUUAAUGUUUGAAUUAACAAAGAGUAUUUUCUGGUAUUUUGAAUGUUUCACCAUUCUCUGCCUUUUGCUUUAUAUAUAUAGAUUAGUCUCUCUGCAAGCGCUUCCGCACCUGCAAGAGGCUUUUUAUUUAAAUUUUUUUUAAUGUAUUUUAGAAUUAAAAAAGAUAAUUGGUAGUUAUGUUCUAUAAAAAUAGGAUUCAUUAUCUGACUUUUCGUUUAAUUUUAAUUUUUUUAAUAUAAAAAAGUGUGAAUUUACCAUAUGAAAAGUGCAAACAACGCUAUUUGAUCUAUAAUAAUUGAAAUUCAAAUAAAGUUAGAACUCUAAUUUUUUUUUCUUUCUUUCUUCAACUUACCCAAAAAUGUCUUGACAUAUUGUGUAUUAAUGAUUUAAAAAUGAGUUCCUCAUGUUUUAAACUUGAGUUAGUUUUAAGUAUAUGUUUUACAAUUUUCUGCCUUUUACUUUAUAUAUAUAGAAGCACAAGUUAAAAAUUCUUAAUCACAUUACCUUCUUUUUUUAUAUAAACGAACUCACGUGCAUAAUGGGAAUCACAUCCGCUCUAACCAACUUGACCAAGUCCAUAUCUGCAACAUUACUUUUUUUGUAACCAUAGAUUUAUUACGAAGUUAACCUUUUUAAUACAUAAAAAGGUUUACCUAAUUAAAUUAUUAAUUGUUCUUAACCAGUUACAUUUGUUUUCAAAAUAUGGAUUUAAAAAAAUAUAAGAGAGAUGUCUUUUCUUUGGUAGCACCAUGAAUGGAAAUGGGGCCUUGCCCAGCCCACUUUGUAUGCUUAUUUUCCAUUUUGUAUGUGUUCACCUCACAUGCCCAUGAAAGAUAAAAUCAUCAUGUCACCAAAAGGAUGUGAUUUGCCAACUUAUCUCACUCCUUUCUAAUGGUAGCGAUGUGAGGCUCUAACUUUCCCAAGAUAACAUGGCCCAUACAAGACUUUGUUAGAGAAGAAAAACAACCAUGAAGAAAAAGUUACAGCCUGAGGAUGACAGAGAACUUGAAAUUCUCAAGGCUGUGGCACAAGCUUGGUACAGCCACUCCAGCGGCUCUAGGCCCACGUCCGAAUUUGAUGCUCACCGGAGAAAUUUCACAGGCAGAUUACCGUCUCGGUUCAAGCUCGAAGCGAUGAGAAAGUCUACAUCAGCUAGUAAUCAGGCUAGUGGUUAUGCAGCAUGGGACUUUGGGCAGUCACUAUGGGAUGCUUAUGAGAUUGUGGCUGUGUCCAAAAGGUUAGAGACUGGGUUAUUCGUUGAUGAAAAUCCAUUCAAUAAGCUGGAUAGUCCGACCCGAGUCAUUAGGAGGCGUAGGGAGAGCAAGCACAGCCUCAGAAGUUUGUUUGAUAAAAUGUCUUCAAGGAGAUUUAAUGAGGCUGAUGUUCCACCUGAUAAUGAUACUUAAUUCUGGUCCUUCUGUGAGGUUCUUGUCUCUUUUUUUCUUCGCAGGAUUUUCGUUCUUGUUAAUGUGAAUUGCAGCUCAAGCUUACCUUACCAUCGCAAUUUUCUUCUAAUAUAGCAAACAGGGGAAUGGGGUGGGGAGAGCUUAUACUUGGGUCAUUGUGCCUAUAACUUUUUACACCAGAAGUACAUUAAUAAGAGGAGUCUGAAUGGACCUUUUUUUGUGUGUGUGUGUUUGUGUUUGUUUGUUUGUGUUGUUACGUGCCAGUGUACCUAUGCUUAAGAAUAAUCCUCUUUUGCCUUUUUCCGAAUUCCUCCAUGUAUUCUUUAUGGCUUCUUAUCUAUGUUUUGUGUUUUGAUGCUGGUGGUGGUUUGGUGAGAUCUGUAGAUGAUUGAUUUUGAAGUGACAAGAUAUGCAAAACUAUAUUCAGUUCUAUACCAGCUUUUAUCAUUACCUAAAUAAGGCUUGGAUCAAUGCUUUCUUUUGGGGAUCAAAUACCCUACAAGUUGAGACCUUUGCUUUAGAAUCUCUUCAGAUGCAUAGUCCAAUUUGAUCUUGAAAAUGAUAAGUUAUUCCCCACAUUAUUGUGGUGCUGGUCCUGGAACCUGAUAGAUGCCCUGCCAUGGGCUUCAGAUCAGGUGCUCAAAACAAAGAUGGCAUAAGACAUGUGGAAAGCACGAUUCGAUUCGAUAUAAACAUAUUUUCCCCCACAUCACGGUACUCUUGUCAUCUGAUAUUCCAAUGAAUUGGCUGAACUUAACUACUUUAGGUUGGUAGCUCAAGCCCUAUGCUAGCCAUACAUAUCAAUAUUGCAGCACUUGGCUGAGGCAGGCUCAAGCAAGCCAGUUAAAUAUUUGGUACCUUUGACCUAUCAAAGAAAACGCUUCUGAAGGGCUCUUGGAGGCCAUUUUUCUGCAUAACUUGUACCUCUAGUAGUAUUAGUAUAUGUAUUGUCGUCCAUUCCUUCAACUUCAACAGAAAAAGUUAAAGCAAAUGGGAGGCCACAUCUCUGAUGUUCAUACGGCCAUUGCUUUGCUGCAUUAAUAACAAGAGCAGUAUACCAGCAGAGGAGUAACCCAUCAAAACUAUGAACAAGAACAGCAAUAACAGCAAAUAUAACUAUAACUUUAACUUGCUUAUUUAAUAAGUGAAAUGCAUUUAACUUGACAAUGGCAUCCUACUAAGAGCCAAGGAACUUCAGCAUUUAUAAAAGACAGGCACUUUAUUUAUGUAACUGGUGGUGUAGGGUAGCACACUAGUUUAUGACCGACGCUCUCCAAAAGCCUUAACGCCCUUUGAAGGUCUUCCACUUGCACAAUUCAAAUCCCUUGUGCUUGUCCUCGAUGAAGCCGUCAGCUUGAACAUCGACGGUUUCCUCAAAAACGACGCGGUUCCCAUUCUUGUCACUCUGUGUGACUCUCUCAGUCACUUUAACUGACUUGUGAGCCUCAGGGAUGCGCUGCUUUUCCUGGUAACCGCCAUAGUCCUCUCUUACACUGGCUUGGUUGUUGAAAAGGGUUUGGCCAUAGUGAGGGACUUCAGUGAGAACACUAGGGGCUCUUACGAUCCUUUGAACAUGAGAAUAAUAAUCCGAGCCAUUUUGGCGCUUGGUUGGGUACUCGUAGCUUCUGCUCAUUUUUCUGCAAUCACAAGUUGAAAGUAUUAGGAGCAUUAAGCUUCAAUUUAUAGACAGAAAUGUUUUGCUUUUAUUCUAAAAUGAUAAGUGUGGUAUCUAAUUCUCUAUCUUUUUGUCUAUAUCAAACAGUUGAUUCAAGCAUAUGAAUCUAGUAAUGCUGGAAGGAGGUGACCCUAAAAUUGGAUAUUUU